rnacentral:rRNA from 1 species
CGAACGCUGGCGGCGUGCUUCCCACAUGCAAGUCGCACGGAAAGGCCCUGCUUUUGUGGGGUGCUCGAGUGGCGAACGGGUGAGUAACACGUGAGUAACCUGCCCUUGACUUUGGGAUAACUUCAGGAAACUGGGGCUAAUACCGGAUAGGAGCUCCUGCUACAUGGUGGGGGUUGGAAAGUUUCGGCGGUUGGGGAUGGACUCGCGGCUUAUCAGCUUGUUGGUGGGGUAGUGGCUUACCAAGGCUUUGACGGGUAGCCGGCCUGAGAGGGUGACCGGCCACAUUGGGACUGAGAUACGGCCCAGACUCCUACGGGAGGCAGCAGUGGGGAAUAUUGCACAAUGGGCGGAAGCCUGAUGCAGCAACGCCGCGUGCGGGAUGACGGCCUUCGGGUUGUAAACCGCUUUCGCCUGUGACGAAGCGUGAGUGACGGUAAUGGGUAAAGAAGCACCGGCUAACUACGUG